rnacentral:rRNA from 1 species
AUUGAACGCUGGCGGCAGGCUUAACACAUGCAAGUCGAGCGGGGAAGGGUAGCUUGCUACCUAACCUAGCGGCGGACGGGUGAGUAAUGCUUAGGAAUCUGCCAUUUAGUGGGGGACAACAUUCCGAAAGGAAUGCUAAUACCGCAUACGUCCUACGGGAGAAAGCAGGGGAUCUUCGGACCUUGCGCUAAAUGAUGAGCCUAAGUCGGAUUAGCUAGUUGGUGGGGUAAAGGCCUACCAAGGCGACGAUCUGUAGCGGGUCUGAGAGGAUGAUCCGCCACACUGGGACUGGGACACGGCCCAGACUCCUACGGGAGGCAGCAGUGGGGAAUAUUGGACAAUGGGCGGAAGCCUGAUCCAGCCAUGCCGCGUGUGUGAAGAAGGCCUUAUGGUUGUAAAGCACUUUAAGCGGGGAGGAGGCUACUUAGAUUAAUACUCUAGGAUAGUGGACGUUACUCGCAGAAUAAGCACCGGCUAACUCUGUGCCAGCCGCCGCCGUAA